rnacentral:lncRNA from 1 species
GGGAAACAUUCACUCCAAAGUAGAAGCUUUGCUCUUCCUCAAAUUUCAGCCCAGCUCCUCUAGCCUUUUCCAAAGCAGAUACUUAGUGGCUUUUAUUUCUAUGGAAACCAUUGUUAAUUUCAGAAUGACUUCAGUUUAUAUAGUUCUGAAAAAUGGUGUUCUGCUAUAAAAAAAAAAAAAAGAGGAUGGGGUGCCUGGCUGGCUCAGUCAGUAGAGCACGUGACUCAUGAUCUUGGGGUUGUGAGUUCAAGCCCCAUGUUGGGUGUAGAGAUUACUUAAAAAUAAAAUCUUUUAAAAAAAAAGGAUUGAAUAUGUAAAUUUUGGAGAAGCAGAAUUAGUGGAUGUGCGACUACAUGGGAAAAGACUUCCUAUAAGAGAAUUUGAACACGGUACUACUAAGAGAGGGGAUCGUGUUAAUCCUGCCCUGGAUUUAUCCUGAUAGACCUAUUUGUGCCUGACACUCGGCACUGCACCCCCGAGCACUCAGAGGAGUGAUGGAGACUCACAUGCCCAUUACCCAGGGAUUCUGGGCACAUAUAAAUGAUCUGCUUGGGACUGGCAAACAAGAACUGGUGAUAAAUGGACAGUGAGCAAACCGUCUGAAAACAUUAGUCAAAAGGAUUCUUCCCUUCCAGAAAUGCUUGGUUAAGCAGGUUGGUCUUUCAGUUUUCUUGGAUCUUGACAUUUUAUGUUCACAUUGCUUUUCUU